rnacentral:rRNA from 1 species
UACGGAGGGUGCUAGCGUUGUUCGGAAUCACUGGGCGUAAAGAGCGCGUAGGCGGCUUAGUAAGUUGGGAGUGAAAGCCCAGAGCUUAACUCUGGAAAUGCUUUCAAAACUGCUGAGCUAGAGGUUAGUAGGGGGUGGCGGAAUUCCUAGUGUAGAGGUGAAAUUCGUAGAUAUUAGGAGGAACACCGGUGGCGAAAGCGGUCACCUGGACUAACACUGACGCUGUGGCGCGAAAGCGUGGGGAGCAAAC